rnacentral:rRNA from 1 species
CCUACGGGAGGCAGCAGUGAGGAAUAUUGGUCAAUGGGCGCAAGCCUGAACCAGCCAAGCCGCGUGAAGGAUGACGGCUCUAUGGGUUGUAAACUUCUUUUAUAAAGGAGUAAAGGCAGGUACGUGUCUCUUUCUGAACGUAUCUUACGAAUAAGGAUCGGCUAACUCCGUGCCAGCAGCCGCGGUAAUACGGAGGAUCCGAGCGUUAUCCGGAUUUAUUGGGUUUAGAGGGUGCGUAGGCGGUUUGUUAAGUCAGAUGUGAAAGCCUGCGGCUCAACUAUAGAAUUGCAAUUGAUACUGGUAGUCUAGAGUAUAGUUGAGGUAGGCGGAAUUCAUGGUGUAGCGGUGAAAUGCUUAGAGAUCACGAAGAACACCGAUUGCGAAGGCAGCUUACUAAACUACCACUGACGUUGAUGCACGAAAGUGUGGGUAGCAAACAGGAUUAGAUACCCCUGUAGUC